GAGACCUCAACUCAGGCAAGACUACCUGCUGAACUUAAGCAUAUCAGUAAGCAGAGGAAAAGAAAACAACUGUGAUUCCCUUAGUAACUGCGAGUGAAGCGGGAAAAGCCCAUCGUUUAAUCUUCCCGGACUGUGGACGGGACGAAAUGUAACGGUAUGGAUAGGUUCUCUACCAACAAGGUCUGAUCAAAGUCCUCCGGAUUGAGGUGCCAAAGAGGGUGACAGCCCCGUGUGUGAUUGGACUGAGUUGGGUAUGUGGCCGAUUCCGAGAGUCGG
rnacentral:rRNA from 1 species